rnacentral:lncRNA from 1 species
UCAGAACACAACGUCAAUGCCUUUAUUGUCUUGCAGAUAUGCCAGUUGUCGGGUCACAUCUCCUAAUUUCCAAAACACAGGCCAAGAGGUUUAAUUUAACCACAAGUCCCAAACACAGAAAGCUCAAGUUUUACCAAAACCACAUCUUUUCAAUGAAGAAAAAGGAACAUCAGAAAAUGCGCGCGCGCGCGCACACACACACACACACACACACACACACACACACGCCUGCACCGACAUGUGCACGCACACACACACUGGGGGUGGGGUUCACAUGUGUCUGGCUCUCUCCUGCACAACAGCUAAACUGUGACAGGAGAGGCAUACAAACACAUUCUGGAACCUUUUCUUCUGGGACUGACUACUUAGAUUUACCCUCAUAUAUUUAAAGAAGAAUACAAAAUCUUCUUUCAGAACAACUUUUUGCAAAGUAUUUAAUACCACGACCCCCAUUUCUGGAGAAGAUUAGACUUUCUGAUUUUUCCCACCCAAACAGAAG